rnacentral:lncRNA from 1 species
UGUCAAUUAGCCUUAAUUAAAAUCUUAUUAAUUAACCUUUCUUACAGCAUGUAGCAUCGAGCCCGUUUGCUGAGAGCUCCAAACAACAACCAAUCGAGUGAUGAGCCAAAGGAACCCGUGAAAUCUGCGCGCUCGGGGGAGGAUGACACCAAUAUUCACAUCCACGCAAAGUUUCCCAGCGUUUCAUCUCGACACUUUCUGCCCAUCUGCACGCCUGAAGUCCCGUCCAGAGAAUCAGACAGCUGCUGGAAGAGGGAGUUUCAGCAUCCUCCUCCUCCGUCAUUAGUCGAGUUCAGACUCUCACCGCACUGUCGGCAUCAGCGCUGGAGAAAACAGCUUUACUGGUCAACCAACUGGCUGUCUGCAAAUAAAUGGAAGGACCUAAACAAUGAGUCAACUUUCAUCUGCUGUUUAACGGUUUUGUGAACGCCUAGCUUCUC